GGGGAUGUAGCUCAGUGGUAGAGUGCUUGCCUGGCAUGUAGGAGGCCCUUGCUUCCAUCCCCA
rfam:Ictidomys tridecemlineatus contig120571, whole genome shotgun sequence.